rnacentral:rRNA from 1 species
CUUCGGUUGUGAKUACUUGGCGCAGGGGUGAGUAAUGUAUAGGUAAUCUGCCCUUUGGACUGGAAUAACCCCGAGAAAUCGGGGACAAUACCARAUGAUGCAGCGGAACCGCAKGGUUAUGUUGUUAAAGAUUUAUCGCCAAAGGAUGAACCUAUAUCCCAUCAGGUAGUUGGCAGGGUUAUAGCCUACCAAGCCUACRACGGGUAGCUGGUCUGAGAGGAUGAUCAGCCACAUUGGAACUGAGACACGGUCCARACUCCUACGGGAGGCAGCAGUGAGGAAUAUUGCGCAAUGGGCGAAAGCCUGACG